rnacentral:rRNA from 1 species
GUGCAAGCGUUAAUCGGAAUUACUGGGCGUAAAGCGUGCGCAGGCGGUUUUGUAAGUCAUAUGUGAAAUCCCCGGGCUUAACCUGGGAACUGCGUUUGAAACUACAAGGCUAGAGUGUGGCAGAGGGGGGUGGAAUUCCACGUGUAGCAGUGAAAUGCGUAGAGAUGUGGAGGAACACCGAUGGCGAAGGCAGCCCCCUGGGUUAACACUGACGCUCAGGCACGAAAGCGUGGGGAGCAAACAGG